rnacentral:rRNA from 1 species
AUGGGAACGCGAAGAACCUUACCUACUCUUGACAUCCAGAGAACUUUCCAGAGAUGGAUUGGUGCCUUCGGGAACUCUGAGACAGGUGCUGCAUGGCUGUCGUCAGCUCGUGUGUGAAUGUUGGUUAAGUCCGCAACGAGCGCAACCCGUUAUCCUUUGUUGCCAGCGGUUAGGCCGGGAACUCAAAGGAGACUGCCAGUGAUAAACUGGAGGAAGGUGGGGAUGACGUCAAGUCAUCAUGGCCCUUACGAGUAGGGCUACACACGUGCUACAAUGGCGCAUACAAGAGAAGCGACCUCGCGAGAGCAAGCGGACCCCAUAAAGUGCGUCGUAGUCCGGAUUGGAGUCUGCAACUCGACUCCAUGAAGUCGGAAUCGCUAGUAAUCGUAGAUCAGAAUGCUACGGUGAAUACGUUCCCGGGUCUUGUACACACCGA